rnacentral:lncRNA from 10 species
CUCAUUACUGCCUUGCAGUUUGAUCUCAGACUGCUGUGCUAGCAAUCAGCGAGACUCCCUGGGCGUAGGACCCUCCGAGCCAGGUGUGGGAAAUAAUCUCCUGGUGCACCGUUUCCUAAGCCCGUCGGAAAAGCGCAGUAUUUGGGUGGGAGUGGCCCGAUUUUCCAGGUGCCCUCCUUUCCUUGACCAGGAAAGGGAACUCCCUGACCCCUUACGCUUCCCAAGUGAGGCAAUGCCUCGCCCUGCUUCGGCUGGCGCACGGUGCCCUGCACCCACUGUCUGGCACUCCCUAGUGAGAUGAACCCGGUACCUCAGAUGGAAAUGCAGAAAUCACCCAUCUUCUGCGUGGCUCAUGCUGGGAGCUGUAGACCAGAGCUGUUCCUAUUCAGCCAUCUUGGCUCCCGGAUCCAGUUUAACUUUUGCAGAGAGACAAGAUCUCUCUCCAUUGCCAACACUGGUCUCAAACUCCUGGCCUCAAGCAAUCAUCCAACCUCAGCCUUCUGAGUACCGGGAUUACAAGUGCGAGCCACUGUGCCCAGCUCCUGUUUCUACUUUCUUAAGGUCUCAUGAAUAUAACACGAUGCCCAGCACAUAGAAAGCAUACAAUAAGUGUUUGUUGGAUAACUGUGGACAGUUCAGUCGACCAGCAAAUUCCUCUUAGGACUCUAGAUGCACGGAGAGUGGCCAGAUUAAUACAGACUGGCAAAAGAAGAACUUGGCAAAGUGAUUUGAUCACACACUUCUCACCCUCACAUCUCCUGACAGUUCCCCUAAUCCCUGCCCCACUUCCCCGCCAUGGGCUUCCAUCAGGAAACUCCUUGAUAUCAUCUUCGAGAAGAAAACUGAGGCAUAGAACAUUUGGGAAUGAAUCUAAGACUACACAUCUAGAAUAGCAGAGUUACAGGAAUGCAGAUGUGAUUCCUAUGGAUGAGGGUAACCUAGAGGCUAGAAGAACAAUAGGACAGAAGAAGCCUGGGUCCCUGAACAACCUUGUGGAGCAUAGACACCUACGUGGCCUGGACUGCCAGCUCACAAUGGGCCUCUCUGUGAGAGAAGGAAACUUCCCUCUUGUUUAAGCAACUGUGCUUUUGAGAAUCUCUUGGUCUAUACCCUAAUGAAUAAGGCCAUCAUAAAUGGAUAUCAAAGUAAGGAAAUUUGUGUAAAUGAUUUAAUAAAACAUUACCUCAGGUAUGAAAUAAUUCUACCUUGUGCCUUGACAACAUCAGGUAUUAUUCAUGCCCUUUUCUCUCCCUGUAAUGUCUCUUAUCCACGGGUAGAAAUUAUAUUUUCCAUCUAAGGUUUGCUCAAAUAUUAUCUACUUAAGUAGCUCUUACCAAUUUUGCCUCUCCUCCUGAGCUGACCCUAUGCCUUCUAUGCUGUUCCAGGUAAUAUUAAUCUCUUCCUUUGUACUUCUUUCACAGAACAUACUUUUUUGUCUAACAUAAUAACUAUAGGCAUAAGUGUAUAGAUUCCACUAGGGGCUUCAGAACAGAAACUAUCAUCUUAUUAAUUUUUUUCUCCCUGAUAUCUAGGGAAAUAUGUUAUAUAUAAUAGGCCCUUAGUAAUCCCAUAAAUGUUUGUGAGAUAUUCACUGACUAUAAGCCAUACUCUGUAUUUAUUUAGCUAAAACAGACGUCUUUCAUAUUUAGUUAGCAGAAAAUGCUCACAUUUACUCCUUUCCUGUUUACCAAAUGAAAGGGUAAUUGUUUUUUCACAGAUUGCACUAGAAAAGUGUCUUCUCUCUCUUUUUCAAAUAGAUUGUCUUUAAAACAUAUGACAGGAAAAGUGACUAUUGUUAGGAUAAGAUAAUUACGAUUGUAACAGCUAGUUUAAAAGAAGUGUCAGUUGCUCCUGUUUUAUUUUUCACAGGAUAGAGCUGCGGCCUGUCUCAGUAUGAUGUUUUCAGGAUCUGGUAUAUAUUUUUAUUUUCCUACAUGAAUCUUUCAUCCUUUUACUGACAUUUAUUCAUUUUAUCUAAUUAUCCUAAAAGGAAAGCUCUGGCCAGGCAAAUUGGUUGUUGUCUGCCUCUGAAGAGACAUUCAUAUCGCGUCGCUUAGCUUUCAAGUUUUGUGAUCAGGAACCCUCAGGCCCAUUUUUAAGGAGGUUUCAGGCUAGCUGAGCUUCACUGUCUCCCAAAAUGUACAAAAUGAGAUUACAUGAGGGACAAGAUCAAUUUACUGGAAGGUACUUAAGCAGUAAAUCUGGAGCUUUUUGUCCAGUCACUAUUGCUUUCAAGCUUUGUAGCAGAAAAUUAAGCCACAAGAGCUUUGACAAAUUAGAUAUUACUACCUCUAAUUGUGUAUGUUUAAGCUUAUCACACUGAAUUGCAGCAUUGUAACUGACUAUUAUGCCAACAAGGCCUUCGUUUAAUCAGCGCAGUGCCAUUUAAUCGCAAUUAAUCACUCAACUAAAAUGUCAUAUUAAGGUCACAGAAACUUGAAGGGCUAAAAGAAAAGAGAACAUUAAAGUCAGCUGAUGGAGGAAAAGAGCAUGGUGUGCCAAGGGAAGUUCUGAGCACUCUUUUUCAUUAGAAGCUGGUAGAACAUUUAAUGAGAAUUCAGUCUUAACUUUCAGCUGAGAUCAGAACAACGUGCC